rnacentral:rRNA from 1 species
GCGCGAUUGGAUGAGCCGAUGUCGGAUUAGCUUGUUGGCGGGGUAAUGGCCCACCAAGGCGACGAUCCGUAGCUGGUCUGAGAGGAUGAUCAGCCACACUGGAACUGAGACACGGUCCAG